GGAAGAAGGCCUUCGGGUUGUAAACCGCUUUUGUCAGGGAAGAAACGCGCUGAGCUAAUACCUCGGCGUAAUGACGGUACCUGAAGAAUAAGCACCGGCUAACUACGUGCCAGCAGCCGCGGUAAUACGUAGGGUGCAAGCGUUAAUCGGAAUUACUGGGCGUAAAGCGUGCGCAGGCGGCUUUGCAAGACAGAUGUGAAAUCCCCGGGCUUAACCUGGGAACUGCAUUUGUGACUGCAUGGCUGGAGUGCGGCAGAGGGGGAUGGAAUUCCGCGUGUAGCAGUGAAAUGCGUAGAUAUGCGGAGGAACACCGAUGGCGAAGGCAAUCCCCUGGGCCUGCACUGACGCUCAUGCACGAAAGCGUGGGGAGCAAACAGGAUUAGAUACCCUGGUAGUCCACGCCCUAAACGAUGUCAACUGGUUGUUGGACGGCUUGCUGUUCAGUAACGAAGCUAACG
rnacentral:rRNA from 1 species